CAGAGAGGUUCAAGAGGAGGGAACACACUCUUAAUAGAGGAAUGGUGAUCUCUGCUUCCGUGUAUCAGAACUUCUGUGCUUACUGCUGAAAAUUCUUAUCAGUACUGGAGUCUGGGAAGUUUAAUAUCAAGGUGACAGCCUCUGGACUCAAGAAGUGAAAGAGGAGUGAGAGAGAAAAGCUACCCUGUGUGGAAUGGAAGGCAGAUGAGCUUCUACGAAUUCCAUCCCUGCCAUCAGCAUAAGGAUUGCCUGAUUCAGAUAACUGUGUGGACCUAGAGGAAGAGGCAGCAUUGGCACACAUCAGCACCAGGAAGGAAGGUGAAGUCCCAUGCCUCUCCCUACAGGUGUGCCUGGAAGUUCUUGUCUUAACAGGUGGUGUCAGAAGUAGAAUCCAAAGGAGAGCUUCUAACAACCCCCAGGAGUGCUGAGUGACCAAGUGAGGUAUCAUUGUGUCCAUUGCUCCCUCAGAGCAACUGAGGGUCAUGUGGACAUCCUGAAAACUGAAUGUAACAACAUGGAGAAGGGGAAAAGGAAGACCCUCUACCAAAUGGCUUGUAACUAAUGCAAUGUAAAAUAGGCAUGCUUAAAAUUGGUGGAUGCUGGAGUGUGAGAGCUUCCUCAUGCAGUUUAAUUAAAAAAUCAUUCC